rnacentral:rRNA from 1 species
GAUGAACGCUAGCUACAGGCUUAACACAUGCAAGUCGAGCGACCGGCGCGCGGGUGAGUAACACGUAUCCAACCUGCCUUUUUCUCGGGGAUAGCCUUUCGAAAGAAAGAUUAAAACCCGAUAUAAAGGAUGGGGAUGCGUUCCAUUAGGUUGUUGUUGAGGUAACGGCUCAGCAACCCUUCGAUGGAUAGGGGUUCUGAUAGGAAGGUCCCCCACAUUGGAACUGGGACACGGUCCAAACUCCUACGGGAGGCAGCAGUGAGGAAUAUUGUGCAAUGGGCGCUAGCCUGAACCAGCCAAGUAGCGUGAAGGAUGAAUGCUUAUGGGUCGUAAACUUCUUUUAUAUAAGAAUAUGUAUUAUAUGAAUAAGGAUCGGCUAACUCCGUGCCAGCAGCCGCGGUAAUUC